rnacentral:rRNA from 1 species
UACGUAGGAUGCAAGCGUUAAUCGGAAUUACUGGGCGUAAAGCGUGCGCAGGCGGUUUUGUAAGACAGAGGUGAAAUCCCCGGGCUUAACCUGGGAACUGCCUUUGUGACUGCAAGGCUUGAGUGCGGCAGAGGGGGAUGGAAUUCCGCGUGUAGCAGUGAAAUGCGUAGAUAUGCGGAGGAACACCGAUGGCGAGGGCAAUCCCCUGGGCCUGCACUGACGCUCAUGCACGAAAGCGUGGGGAGCAAACAGG